rnacentral:rRNA from 1 species
CCUACGGGUGGCUGCAGUGGGGAAUAUUGGACAAUGGGCGAAAGCCUGAUCCAGCCAUGCCGCGUGUGUGAAGAAGGCCUUCGGGUUGUAAAGCACUUUCAGUGGGGAAGAAAGCCUUGGGCUAAUACCCUCGAGGAAGGACAUCACCCACAGAAGAAGCACCGGCUAACUCCGUGCCAGCAGCCGCGGUAAUACGGAGGGUGCGAGCGUUAAUCGGAAUUACUGGGCGUAAAGCGCGCGUAGGCGGUCUGAUAAGCCGGUUGUGAAAGCCCCGGGCUCAACCUGGGAACGGCAUCCGGAACUGUCAGGCUAGAGUGCAGGAGAGGAAGGUAGAAUUCCCGGUGUAGCGGUGAAAUGCGUAGAGAUCGGGAGGAAUACCAGUGGCGAAGGCGGCCUUCUGGACUGACACUGACGCUGAGGUGCGAAAGCGUGGGUAGCAAACAGGAUUAGAUACCCUGGUAGUC